AAGAAGGGAGCAAAAGAAACUAUCAAGAAAGAUGAAGAUGAAGGAAGAUGAAGCAAUAAGCACCGGAAUAUGAAAAACCUGCCACUACUGAG